CCUGUGCCGGGCGUGGAACGGCACCGCCGCCUUGUCAGCCAAAGGCCCGUUCCCUCAGCACAACGCCGUGGCUUCCGCCCAGUCCCUGAAGAGUCACGCUCUUCGGUUAGGGCGUCCAUCGGCGCGCCGAUGGCUGCGGAGCAAAUAUACAGGGAGGUGCAGGAUUACUAUGGCAAAGAGUUGAAGAAAACAGAAGAUCUAAAAACCAGUGCCUGCCUUACUUCAACAAGACCUUUGCCCACACAUGUCAGAGAAGCACUGCAAUGUGUGCAUGAGGAGGUUUCAGCAAAGUACUAUGGUUGUGGCCUGGUAAUUCCAGAAUGUCUAAAAGACUGCUGCAUAUUGGAUUUGGGCAGUGGGAGUGGCAGAGACUGCUAUAUGCUCAGUAAGCUGGUUGGGGAGAAUGGCCAUGUCACUGGGGUAGACAUGACUGAAACACAGGUAGAAGUAGCAAAGAAAUACAUUGAUCAUCACACAAAAAAAUUUGGGUAUUGGAAGCCUAAUGUAAACUUUAUCCAUGGUUACAUGGAAAAACUGGGUGAAGCAGGCCUGAAGAAUGGAAGCUAUGAUCUUAUAAUCUCCAAUUGUGUGGUUAACCUCUCUCCUGAUAAACGUGUUGUCCUGCAUGAGGCUUAUCGAAUCUUAAAGGCAGGUGGGGAGAUGUAUUUCAGUGAUGUGUAUGCCAGUCAUGACCUGCCAGAGAUGAUCAGGAAACAUAGAAUCUUGUGGGGUGAGUGCCUAGGGGGAGCCUUGUAUUGGAAAGAUCUCUAUGGAAUCGCCAAGGAAGUUGGAUUCUGCCCACCUCGGUUGGUGACUGCCUCCCGGAUAACCCUCGCCAACAAGGAGCUGGAAAGUCUUGUGGGUGAUUGCCAGUUUGUUUCUGCUACUUUCCGUCUCUUCAAGAUCCUGAAGGAAUGCUCAGCUGGCCGGUGUGAAGUUAUUUACAAAGGAGGCAUCACUGGCCAUGAGAGAGAACUAGAAUUUGACAUUAACUACAAUUUCAAGCAAGGAGAAGUGGUGGACGUGGAUGAGGAGACAGCAGCUGUUUUGCAGAACUCAAGAUUUUCUAGGAAGUUCCUGAUCCAUCCAGUGGGGCAGAACAUGCCAGCCCCAGAAGGCUGUACUCCCAGGAAACUAAAGCACCAUCAAGAAGGAUGCAGACAAGCUGGAGCGUGUUCAGAGGAGGGCAACCAGGAUGAUCAGGGGUCUGGAAGCAAAGCCCUAUGAAGAGAGACUGAAAGAACUGGGCCUGUUUAGCCUGGAGAAGAGAAGAUUGAGGGGAGACAUGAUAGCACUCUUCAAAUACUUAAAAGGAGAAGAUCAGGGAUCCAUUUAAAUUAGUGGAGCAGAUAGAGGCAAAAGUCCCUGCCCA